UUGCACAGUGAACACCCAAGUAUACUUAAUAGUUCCCUUGGUAUUAACUCUGUGCUAGAAUAAUUCUGUGCUUACCUCUGCAUUGGAAGGAAUCCUUUUCCUUUUACAUGUAUUCAAAAGGACUGUACAUGU
rnacentral:snoRNA from 1 species